rnacentral:lncRNA from 1 species
CCCAUGUCUACCAGAAUUUGAUAAAAAAAGAUUUAAUGCAUGCUAUUAGGAUUACUUUUGGAGGCGUUCUGAGAUCGACAAUUAAUGGUGAUUUCUGUCGACUUAGAGUUCAGUUAAAUGUGAAAAAACCCUUGCGCAGGGGUAUUUUCAUCUUAACAGAAAAUCAAAGUAAGUUCUGGAUCCCAUUUAAAUAUUAAAAAUUACCAACUUUCUAUUUUGGCUUUGGAAGGAUGGGGCAUGGGCUCAAUGAAUGCCUCACGUUUACACCUGUAGAAAAAAAUAAAAUUAGAGAUGAUCCUCCUUAUUCUUUAGCAUUAAAAGCAGAAGUCAAUUUUGUUGGAAAAGAGAGUUUAAAGCUUAAUGUCAUUUCAAAGAAGAUGCAGAUGCAAUGUUCAUAUACAGGUGCUAUAGAGAAAAUCUCUGAGUAAAUUUUUCAAGAGAGGGAUAGAAGUGAGAUGGGCCAAAAAAUCCAGGAUAACUAAUGUGGAAGCAAACGAAUGUGGGGUAAACAAUAAUUGCGCAAGUCUUUUAAAACCAGUAAAGAAAUCGAGUUGGAAGAGAAUUGAGGCAACUAAAGAGACAGACAUGGCUAACAGUGAGAGUAUUUUGAGGAAAAGAAAAUCGGAGGAGUUAAAAAUUGAAGAUGACAAUAAAGGAAUAUACUAUAAAGAGGAAGCAAAAAGAAUGAAAUAUAAUGAUUAAGAUUUUCAUAUCGUGAAAGGUAUAAAUCAGCAAGCAGAAACUCUCAAGCAUGAUUGUUUUACCAACAAAAAUAGAUCGACAGCUGCCAAUGGGCAAGCCGACCAGACACAAUGAAAGCCAUUUGUUGGAACGUCGUGGAUUGAGGAGUCCACAGGCAGUAAGAAGCUUCGGUAUUUGCUGAAGCAACAUAAACCCCAAAUGGUAUUUCUUAUGAAGACAAAAAUAGAUGAAAGCGCAUAGAAAAAAUCAAGAGGAGAUGUGGUUUUGAGAAUGGAAUCGAUGUAGGAGCAGCAGGUUCUAGAGGUGGAAUUUCUAUGGCAUGGAAAGUAGAAAUUACGGUUUGCCUAAACAAUUUCUCAAAAAGCUAUAUUGAUGUGAUUGUAAAAGAGGACAAUGUCAAUGAAGAGUGGAGGUUUACAGGGUUUUAUGGAUCACCUUAUGCUACCAAUAAGGAUGUUUCUUGGAACUUAUUAAGGAAGUUGGGUCAGGAUCAGAAUCAUCCAUAGUUGGAUGUGGUGAUUUUAACGAAAUAAUGUAUUCGUUCAAAAAGAGUGGAGGUCAACCGAGGGACGAGAAAAAUGGAAGCUUUUCGCGGGGUUUUAGAAGAAUGUCAACUAAUAGAUGUGGGAUAUUCGGAGGUUUGGUUUACGUGAGAGCGAGGGAAUCUACUGGAAGCGAAUAUUAAAGAGUGAUUGAACAGGGGAGUGGCGAAUAAAAAAUGGCUGGCCCAAAAGGAGUUAUUCAGCAUUUAAUACACUCAAUUUCAGAUCAUUGUCCCUUACUAAUCAAUAAUAACAAUAAGAGGAGCUAUAAAGGGAUACCAAGUUUUAAAUUCGAGGCAUGGUGGACCAUGGAGAAAUCUAUUGAAAGAGAGAUUAAAACAUCGUGGGAAUCAUCAAAUGGAACUAUUGCUCAAAGGCUAGAAAAGCUGCAGACAAGAUUGAGGAGGUGGGCAAGCUCAAUAAAAAAGGGUAGAGAUGGGUUGAAGAGUAAGCUCACAAAGGAACUUGAAGAUCUUUUGGCAGGCAACAGAGAUGAUGACACAAUAGUAAAACUGAUUGAUACUAAAAUUCAUUUUAAUAUGGAGAUAAAUAAGGAUGAUAUGUACUGGGAACAAAGGGCGUAAGCCAAUUGGCUUUAAUUGGGUGAAAAAAUUCUGGCUUUUUCCACAAAUAUGCCACAGCUCGUAGAUGAACGAACACAAUUACUAGGCUGGAAUUUGAUGAUGGGAGGGAAAUUUCUGAUGAAUAAGCAAUUAAUGAGUCAGCCUCAAAUUACUUCCAGAAUUUAUUUUCGUCAAACGGUACUAGGAAUCUAUCACAUAUUCUAAAAGGUAUUCAUUCUAAUAUCUCAUCUGAUAUUAACACAGAUUUACUAGUACCUUUUACAGCAGCAGAGGUAUUUUCAACCUUGAAAGAAAUAGGGCCCACUAAAGCACCUGGUUGUGAUGGAUUUCCAGCUUUAUUUUUUCAAAGAUUCUGGCACAUUGUAGGUAAAGAUGUUGAAAAAUUUUGUUUGGGCAUACUGAACGACGGACGAGAUUUUGACUCUUUAAACUUUACAGAUAUUGUGCUUAUCCCAAAAUUACCAAACCCCACAAGUCUUGUUAAAUUUAGACCUAUCAGCUUAUGCACAGUUCUAUACAAAAUUGUGGCAAAAGUAAUUACAAAUCGUAUUAAAAAAGUCAUUGGAAAAUGUAUUGAUAAGACUCAAAGUGAUUUUCUUCCCAGAAGGUUAAUUACUAACAAUGUGCUCAUAGCCUAUGAACUCUUGCAUACACCACGUCAACGACGGAAUGAGAAAAAAAGGCUAAUGGCAGUUAAGCUAGAUAUGAGCAAGGCUUACGAUAGAGUUGAGUGGGUUUUUUUAAAAGAAGUUAUGCUUCAAAUAGGAUUUGCUAUAGAAUGGGUAACAUUAAUAAUGAAAUGCAUAUCUACAGUCUCUUAUACAGUGAACAUCAAUGGGAGAAGAGGAAAGGUUUUUAAGCCUACUAGAGAGCUUCGUCAGGGUAACCCGCUCAGCCAUUUUAUUUUUUUAAUAUGUAGUGAGAGACUCUCGUCUUUAAUAAGAAUGGCCAUAGAUAAGGGAUCGAUGAAUGGAGUAAGGGCUAGUAGAAGAGGACCUGAAACAUCACACUUGCUUUUUGCAGAUGACUGUAUACUGUUGGGUGAGGCGACACAACGAGGGAGAAAAUUUUCAAAUAUAUUUUGAAGGAAUAUGAACAGUGCUCAGGUCAAUGUGUAAACUACAACAAAUUAACAAUUUUCUACAGCUCAAAUACAACAGAACGAGAGAAAGAAGAAAUAUCGAGUUUGCUAGGUAUGAGAAGCUCCACAAAUAUGGAAAAAUAUCUAGAACUUCCUAAUGUUGUAGGAAGGCGAAAGAAGGAAGCUUUUCAGAAUCUCAAAGAUAAAAUUAAGCUGAGAAUUGUAAGCUGGAGUACUAGGUUACUUUCACAAGGGGGAAAGAAGGUAUUUAUAAAAUCAGUUCUUCAAGCAAUUCCAACUUAUGCUAUGUCAUGUUUCCUUUUACCAAAAUCGUUAUGUGGGGAGUUAGAAAAUAUUUUUGCUAAAUUCUGGUGGCAAAAAGGACAGAGUAGGAAAGGGAUACACUGAUGUCAAUGGAAAUUCAUGUGUCGAUCAAAAAAAGUGGGGGGAUUGGGAUUUAGAAAUAUGACACAAUUCAAUAUUUCUCUACUUGCUAAGCAAGGGUGGAGGAUCAUUACUAAUCAGGAUUCUUUAGUUACGCAAGUUUUUAAAGCAAAAUAUUUUCUGAAUGAUCAUUUCUUAAAGUGUCGAUUGGGAAAAACCAGCUUUUAUAUAUGGAAAAGCAUAUGGGCAGCCAAAGGUGUCUUGGAAAAAGAAAUGUGUUGGAGGGUUGGCACAGGCAGAAAUAUUUUUAUAAAUGCUGAUGCUUGGAUUCCAGUUGAUAAUUUUAUGCAAGAUGCCAAGGUCAGUGAAUUGAUCGACAGUAAUGAAAGAGCAUGGAGAAGAGAAUUUAUAAACAAUACCUUUUUAGAGGAUGAUGCUGGAAAAAUCCUCUGAAUACCUUUAGCAAGCGCACCUCAUGAUGAUCUACUGAUCUGGGGAGGCGAGCAUUCAAGAGAGUUUUCGGUCCGCAACUUCUAUAAACUAUUACUAACUUUUGAUGAAAUCCCUAGAGCUUACCUUUACAAACCGGCUACAGAAAUUUCUACAAAAAACUAUGGCUCCUAAAUCUACCAAAUAAAAUCAAGAUUACAAUAUGGAGAAUCUCAUGGAAUUAUUUUCCGAUAUGGGUUAAUAUGCAGCAUCGAAAGCUUGUAAGCAAUACAAGCUGCCCCCAAUGUGGAGAAAGAGCUGAAACGAUCGACCAUAUCUUUCGUGAAUGCCCUGUCAUAGUGGAUGUUUAGACACUAUUAAAAAUGCAGAAUAUUAUUCGGGAGCCUUAUACAGAUUUUCUACAAUGGAUCACCUACAUCAUUGACCAGCUUUCUUCACACCAGAGCUGUCUCUUUUGUUGUGGAUUGUGGACUAUAUGGGGAGAAAGAAACAGAAUAAUACACGAACAGAAAAACACUACAGGUUAGCAAGUAGUAGACUUCAUAAACAACUAUAUUGCUGAACUUGAUGGGUUAGAAAUAAAAAAUCCAACAAAAAGGAAGAUGAUAGUAGGAUAGAGUUACCCGCCUAGUGAGUUCGUCAAAAUAAAUUUUGAUGAUGCGUAUGAUGCGAAUCACCAUCAAUCUGCCUCAGAGAUUGUUGCCAGAAACGAAGAAGGGGAUGUCUUACUUUCCUGCUCCGAGAUCCACCACGGGGUAACGUCCGCCUUUGCAGCUGAAGCAAUAGCAUGUAGAAAAGCGGUCCAAGUAGGAGGGGAACAGGAGUGGUCGAAGGUUCUGAUAGAAGGUGACUCCCUCACAAUAAUAAAAAAAUGUGCAACCAAAAGUCAAGAUCGUUCACAAAUAGGGGCAUAUAUACACGAUAUUCAACAAAAAGUUAAUAGAUCUAGAAGCUUUAUUUUUAAACAUACACCUAGAUCAGAGAAUGCCCUUGUGUAAUACCCCUACCCGUAUUCAUUGCCGGAAUAGGGUACGAGGCAUUACUGGAGUUUACGAAUUAAAUUUUUUUUUAUAUUCAAUAUAGCCCUUUUAUAAAUAUCUAACCUUCCCUGUAAUAUUAAAUCGAGACCAAUCCACAUCAACCAAAUCAAUUCAACAUAUUUUCAUGAUAGAUUCAUGCAUUUAUAUAAGAUAACGUCAUCACAUAUCUAUAACCAGGCUUGUUAACCAUACUAAUGGCUAACUUUACAUUCAUUUCACGUUAACAUUUACUUUGUUAGCUUAUACAUGCCAUUGAUUUCCAAAAUAAAGUUUCUUUAUAUACCGAAAUCCUGAGGUUGACAGUGUGAUGUGUCUCCGACCAAAUCCGACCUCCGAGCUCUUAAUACUACAAAACAGGGAAAAAGGAAACAGGGUAAGCACUUUGUGCUUAGUAAGCUCAUGUAACAAGAAUUAUACUUACCUAAUAUUUUCAAUACAAUAUAAUAAACAUCCAUAUAUCCAUUCAAUGCAUUAUUACCUUAAUAUGCACAAACUCAACAUUCAAGUUAGUACAAUAAUUUCCAUGUACCAAUAAUAUAUACCAUGAUUGAUGUACUCAUCAAUACCAUGGUUUUCAUUCCCUUAUUAUUUUUCAUAUUUAUCCCGUUGAAUUUAUCAGAAUUUCGAUGGAUUUUCAGAUGUACACUUUUAGUGUAUAAUUCCGGGUCCGUCAAUUCAUAUUCAUGUGCGCACAUUUUCAUUUCAGAGAGCACACUCCCGCGAACCUCAACCUUGCAGCGGGAUUACCAGUCCAGGCUAAAUCCUCUGCAAUAUAAACUCAUAGAGUAUUGUCGGGAUUACCAGUCCAGGCUAAAUCCCCUGCAACGACAAUUACUCUAAUGAGCUUGGAUCUGAAUUACUAGUCCAGGUUAAAUUCAGACCCUAAUUCGGAUUACCCGUCCGGGCUAAAUCCAUUUUACACAUAUUCUUCGGGAGGGCUAUAUCAGGAUAGGAUCACCCGUCCGGGCUAGAUCCUUUUUACCGUCAAUUCCUUUUCAGAGAUCCAUCGAAUUUUCCUUUCAUUCAAACGGGAUUUCUUUCCAUUUUAUCAAAUAUAUCAAUGUUUCAUUAAUUUUCAUACAAUGAACACUCAAAUCAUAUUCACAUCAAUAACAUACAAUCUCAAGCAUUUCAGAAUAUAAUUCAAGUUACACGAACUUACCUUGAUACUUAUUUGUAAACAGUAAAAAUCUACUAAUCCCGAACUUUUUCCUUUCCUCGAUCUAGCUUCGUAUUUGAAUCUUAUGGAUCUAAAUAAAUAAAUUUAAUUAUCAAUUUAAUGCAUUUGAUGUUCAUAUGCAACAUUCUCUAUAAUUCAACUAUUAUUUAUAGUUCAUUCAAAGCUGUCUACUUGAGUCAUAGUCACUAAAUUAUUUAUAACUUGAGCUACAGAACUCCAAAUUAAGAUCCGUUAAUUUUUCCUGAAACUAGACUCAUAUAUAUUUUUACCAUAAAAUUUUCAGAAUUUUUGGUUUAGCCAAUCAGUACAGUUUAUUCUUCAAAGUCACCCCUGUUCUGUUGUCUAACAGUUCUGACCCUUCUUCACUAAAAAUAAAUUAUCUCUUUAUACAGAAUUCAAAUGAUGUUCUUGUUUAUUUCUAUUAAAAAUAUACUCAUUCAUAAUUCUAGACAUAUAAAUUUAAGUCCCUAAUUAUUUUUAUUCAAUUUUUUAUAAUUUUUCAAAGUCAGAACAAGGGAACCCGAAUUCAUUCUGACAUCGUCUCACAAAAUUCAUUAUAUCUCAAAAUUUACAAAUCCAUUGCUUACAAUAUUUCUUCUAUGAGAAACUAGACUCAAUAAGCUUUAAUUACAUAUUUUUUUCAUCUUCUAAUUCGAUUCCUACAAUUUUUGGUGAUUUUUCAAAGUUAGUCUACUGCUGUUGUCCAAACUGUUCUAGUGCAAGCUGUUUAUUACUAUUUUUCCCCUAAGCUUUUAAUAAAUGAUAAUUUCGUCCCUACUCAAUUAGCCUCUCAAUUGAGCUGAUUUUUCUCAAUUAACAUUUUAUUCUAUCACCUUAAACUAGUUUACAACCUUUAGGAAUCAGAAUUUCAGCAAUAGACUUUAAUUUCAAACAUUUUCAUAAUUAGGUCCUAAAAAUCAAUUUCCAGUGAAAUUACCUAAUAAAAUCAUCUCAUAAACAAAUUAAAGCUUUAAUUUCAUUCUAUUUCAUCAUAAACUUACAGCACUCAACCAUGGUGACUUUCAAUUUCAUCCAUGAAAUCAAAAACUAAUGAAUUUAAUAGUAGGAUCUAGUUGUAAAAGUCUUAAAAACACAAAAAUUACAAGAAAAAGGCAAGGAUUAACUCACUUGGUGCAAAAAUUAUGAAAUACCAGCUUAGAGAACCCCCCUAUGGCGUUUUUAGCUGCUGGAAUUGAAGAGAAAUGAAGAGAAAUCUAGAUAUUUCCUAUUUAGUCCUAGUUUUAUUUAGUUAAUUUUGUAAUAUUUCAAUUUUACCCUUAAUUUAUCAAUUUUUCUGCUGAUUUCAUACCUUUGCCGUCCAGCCCAAAUAACUUUUGGGUCUAAUUGCCUUUUAAAUCCUUUCUCAUUAGACUCUUAAGCUAUUUAAUCACUCUAGCAACUUUUACACCUAUUACAAUUUAGUCCUUUUCAUUUAAUUGACUACCCAAACAUUAAAAUUUCCUAACGAAAUUUUAAUACCACAUUAAUAACAUUUCAUAAAUAUUUAAAAAAUUAUUUUUGACUCGGUUUUACGAGAUAGAGGUCACGAUACCUUAUUUUACCCAAUUUCUUCAAUAAUUUCUUUUUCUAACUAAUCACUAAAUUGAUAAAAUUUUCCUAUCAAUAUUUUCAUACGAUUUUCCUAUCAUAUAAAUUUUCAAGCAAAAAUAUUGAAAUAAAUUUCUCUUUAAAUCGGAUUUAUGAUUACGAAACCACUGUUUCGAUAACAUUGAAUUUACGCCAUUACACUUUGCGCAUAUAUUGGCAACAGAAACUCUAAAAAGGGAAGAAGAAAUGUACCUAGAAAUGAGGGUUCCGGAGUAUGUUGAACUUCAACGAAGGAUUGACCGGAGAAGAGAACUAGAUUAAGAAUGAAAGGGCAAAAAGAUAAAAGAGGAAAGCAAAGAAUAGCAGAAGAAAGGUUUCUGAAAGAACAAACUUUCCUCAAAAAAUGAAUCGUAAGAAAGAAAAAGCAAAAAUGGUACUUAGAUAACAAGAUGAUUCAUAGCAUUUUCUGACUGGACAUUGAUUACGCACAUUUAAUUAGCAUUCUAGACUAUUCGGAAAAUAUCUAGAUAUUUUCUAUUUAGGUUUUGGGCCACUUUAGU